rnacentral:lncRNA from 1 species
AUGGCUCUGGGUGGACAUGCGGCGGAGCGAGAUGGCUCUGGGGUGUCAUCGCCAGGCGCGUGUAUCACCCGCCUCCCCUUGCCUGUGCUCACGUCGCCUAACAAGAUCUCUCAAACGUUAGCAGCUGGAAACAACAGGAACGUGGGUGUGGUCCUGCUGGGUUCUCUGCUUUGGGGACGCAAGGCUGCGGCUGAGAUGUUGGACGGGCUGCGGUCUCAUCGGAAGGCCCGCCUGGGGCAGGAUCCCGCUGCUCACGGGCUCUGGGGCGGGACUGCCUACGGGGACCCCCACAGCCAGCACAGCACGACAGGAGUCUUUGAGACGUCGCAUCCCAUCACCUUUGCCCUGUCGUGCUGGCCUGCCACGUUCACGGGCAGGGGAUUACACGUGGCUGUGACCACCAGGAGGUUGGGGUCACUGGACGGCGGCCGAGGGUCUGCCUGCUGGGCCCUGGCGACUUCGAGCUUUGCAAGGGCAGCCGUGUGGGUGGGUGCAUGGCUCCCAGCACCGAAGGCCGUCCAGGCCCUAAGUAGGUGCUCCACAGAUGUGUGUGGCCUAAGUGGGUGUCUCCCCAUUCACAGCCGAGGGCGUGGAGGAAACUCCUCCCCUCUCCCCACUUGGGUGAACUGUUUCCUCCCAAUUCCCCGCGGGCCCUCCUGCCUCCUCCUGCCCUGUGAUCUGGUCUGCUCUUGGCCCCUGGUCCCGUGGGGGUGCCCAGGGCCCAGCUGCGGAGGGAGAGUACACAUCGGUCUGGUGUGCGUGCGUGUGUGUGAUCGGAUCCUGCAGAGCCUCGAUCCGCCCCCUCCCCUCCCCUCCGCACAUCCCCGGGGACCUCCCUCCUGCUCUCCAGAGCCUGCCCUUCCCCCUCUCCCCACUCCCUCCUGUCUGUCAUCCUGGGGCGCUGUCAGGCCUCAUCCGGAAUCUUCUCCAUCAAUUCCCCAGGCCUGCUGCACAUCAGAGGACUUGGUGGGGGUGCCCCCCCGCAUCACCCACUCUGCCUGA